CAUUGUCGAUGCCUUACAAGCAGCCCAACCCGUGAAUCUGUUUGACCCCUCGGUAGGGCUGGCUUGCGGUGCCCGGCACCGCAGCCUCCCAUCGGGCGCGGAGGGGGGCCACGCAGUGUGCUCCCCUCCGAGCCAAACACGAACCCGGGCGCCGAAUGCGCCAAGGAACUGAGAUUGGUUCAGCGCGUCCCCCGCCGGCCCGGAGACGGUGCUCCGGCGGGCGGCGCCUUGACACGCGAUACGGAAUGACUCUCGGCAACGGAUAUCUAGGCUCUUGCAUCGAUGAAGAACGUAGCGAAAUGCGAUACUUGGUGUGAAUUGCAGAAUCCCGUGAACCAUCGAGUCUUUGAACGCAAGUUGCGCCCGAAGCCAUUAGGCUGAGGGCACGUCUGCCUGGGCGUCACAGAUCGUUGCCCGAUGCCCAGUUGCCUAGCGAUAGGUGCUGGAAUUGUGCGGGGCGAACGGUGGCCUCCCGUGAGCGCUGCGCUGGCUCUCUCGGUUGGCUGAAAAUCGAGUCCACGGUGGGGUGCGCGCCACGGCAGAUGGUGGUUGAGUGACCCUCGAGACCAGUCGUGCGCCACCGCAGCCGAACCUGGCCUCCGUGACCCACGCGCGUCCUCGAACGCUCACAUGACGAGACCUCA
rnacentral:misc_RNA from 1 species